rnacentral:rRNA from 1 species
CAGUAGAACGCUGAAGAGAGGAGCUUGCUCUUCUUGGAUGAGUUGCCAACGGGUGAGUAACGCGUAGGUAACCUGCCUUGUAGCGGGGGAUAACUAUUGGAAACGAUAGCUAAUACCGCAUAACAAUGGAUGACACAUGUCAUUUAUUUGAAAGGGGCAAUUGCUCCACUACAAGAUGGACCUGCGUUGUAUUAGCUAGUAGGUGAGGUAACGGCUCACCUAGGCGACGAUACAUAGCCGACCUGAGAGGGUGAUCGGCCACACUGGGACUGAGACACGGCCCAGACUCCUACGGGAGGCAGCAGUAGGGAAUCUUCGGCAAUGGGGGCAACCCUGACCGAGCAACGCCGCGUGAGUGAAGAAGGUUUUCGGAUCGUAAAGCUCUGUUGUAAGUCAAGAACGAGUGUGAGAGUGGAAAGUUCACACUGUGACGGUAGCUUACCAGAAAGGGACGGCUAACUACGUGCCAGCAGCCGCGGUAAUACGUAGGUCCCGAGCGUUGUCCGGAUUUAUUGGGCGUAAAGCGAGCGCAGGCGGUUUGAUAAGUCUGAAGUUAAAGGCUGUGGCUCAACCAUAGUUCGCUUUGGAAACUGUCAAACUUGAGUGCAGAAGGGGAGAGUGGAAUUCCAUGUGUAGCGGUGAAAUGCGUAGAUAUAUGGAGGAACACCGGUGGCGAAAGCGGCUCUCUGGUCUGUAACUGACGCUGAGGCUCGAAAGCGUGGGGAGCGAACAGGAUUAGAUACCCUGGUAGUCCACGCCGUAAACGAUGAGUGCUAGGUGUUGGAUCCUUUC